rnacentral:sRNA from 1 species
CGUGCAGGCCAUGAACCGCAUCUGCGUGCUGGACGUGGACCUGCAGGGUGUGCGGAACAUCAAGGCCACCGAUCUGCGGCCCAUCUACAUCUCUGUGCAGCCGCCUUCACUGCAUGUGCUGGUGUGUGCUGGGCAGGGUUGGGGGCUGGGGGCCAGGGCAUGCCAGGCUCUGAUUGCCACCCCCUUUUUAGGAGCAGCGGCUGCGGCGGCGCAACACUGAAACGGAGGAGAGCCUGGCGAAGCGGCUGGCUGCUGCCCAGGCCGACAUGGAGAGCAGCAAGGAGCCUGGCCUGUUUGAUGUGGUCAUCGUUAAUGACAGCCUGGACCAGGCCUACGCAGAGCUGAAGGAGGCGCUCUCUGAGGUGGGCCCAUCCUUGUGCUACCUGGGCAAGGCCCAAGGGGAGGCCUGGGGGCCAGGCCUUUGUUGUCCAUGAGGCCACUGAGGUCAGAUGGGACAGUCCUACCCAAGCACUGGCAUGAGACACCGAGGUCCAUGGUGGAGGGAGAGCAGGAAGCCCAGCCCUUCCUGGAUACCAGCCCUCCCAACUCCCUUUCUUCCUCACUGGCAGGAAAUCAAGAAAGCUCAAAGGACCGGCGCCUGAGGCUUGCUCUCUGUUCUCGGCACCCCGGGCCCAUACAGGACCAGGGCAGCAGCACUGAGCCGCCCCCUUGGCAGGCAAUAUGGCAGCUCUGUGCCCUUGGCCAGCAUGUGGAGUGGAGGGGAUGCUGCCCCUGUGGUUGGAACAUCCUGGGGUGACCCCCGACCCAGCCCCACCGGGCUGUCCCCUGUCCCUAUCUCUCACUCUGGACCCAGGGCUGACAUCUUAAUAAAAUAACUGUUGGAUUAGAAAG